UACGUAGGUGGCAAGCGUUGUCCGGAUUUACUGGGCGUAAAGAGCGCGCAGGCGGUCGGAUAAGUCGAAUGUGAAAGCCCCCGGCUCAACUGGGGAGGGUCAUUCGAUACUGUUCGACUCGAAGGCAGGAGAGGGAAGUGGAAUUCCCGGUGUAGUGGUGAGAUGCGUAGAUAUCGGGAGGAACACCAGUGGCGAAGGCGACUUCCUGGCCUGUUCUUGACGCUGAGGCGCGAAAGCUAGGGGAGCAAACGGG
rnacentral:rRNA from 1 species